CGGACGGGGGAGUAAUGUCUGGGAAACUGCCCGAUGGAGGGGGGUAACUACUGGAAACGGUAGCUAAUACCGCAUAACGUCGCAAGACCAAAGAGGGGGACCUUCGGGCCUCUUGCCAUCGGAUGUGCCCAGAUGGGAUUAGCUAGUAGGUGGGGUAAAGGCUCACCUAGGCGACGAUCCCUAGCUGGUCUGAGAGGAUGACCAGCCACACUGGAACUGAGACACGGUCCAG
rnacentral:rRNA from 1 species